UAUUCCGCUUUUCAACGCCGACACCAUUCAGAGGUAUGUAUUUUAAAUCUUCGUAAAAUAAAAGAAACAAUAAUCUAAUGGAAUAUAGCCAGCUCUUUCCAUGUGCAUCGCCAUCUUGGCUUAUAUGUUGACAAAGAUGCAGCCACCUUAUUGGUGGAGCACGCUCAUGUGACAGACUGUGCAACCACUUCCUGGCAAAAUAUUAUUCCGCUCAGAGAAAAGUAGUCCGUGACAAAACUUAUCGCCAUAGCCGCUUUGCCACGAUAUCAACGACAAAAAUAAUUGGUAGCUCUGUAAGGCCCCCGCUUUGUAUUCGUAUGAAGAUCACAUGAUCAUAACAUGAAAAAAAGCUUCUCUUUAUGGACGGCACAACUUCCGACCAUGCUUCCGACAGAGGAAUCUUUGCGCAGAUGCAGUCACUAGUUCGUUGGUGUGGGAAGUUUGAAGACACGCAGGAAAAAGUUUCAAAGAAGUAAAUUUUACCUCAUUCAGCGGUUAAGAGGUGAUUCACCAUCCAGUCCAAAAACAAUUUUGAUCCCCUCUGCAUUCCUCUACACCGGCUGUGCAAGGUCAGACAUCAUCUGCAGUCCCUGACAGGGGCCGUUAUGGAAAAAAAAGUCAGAAGUCAAGCAGAGCUCCUAACACCCCAGUAGUGUCCUGGAGGGCCUGUGAUAGACGGGGCAGUCCUGUGAUGACCCGUGCCCGGACCCCACAGGAGACUCCUAGACUUCAAACUGGAUCCCCUGCCCAUUCUUCCCAAGGUACAAAUUGACCAUGGUAUUAAUAUUAAAUAGUGAUGUUGCUAUGAUGACUUAUACUUCUCUUUUCUUUGACACACAGCUCAUUCCUCUGUAGGUCAGCGGCCCAAA